CAACACACAAUCAGAUCAAUGUUCAAGGACUAUUGGGAAAAAUCGCUUUAACAUUGUGAGUGAAUAUAGUGGUAUAUACAUGAUUAUACCAUUGCAAAGGAAGAGGUUUACAAUAUAUGAUCUGUCUGUGAAGCUAGGAACAUGAGAAGACGAUGCGUUGUUGUGGCUACCGUCUCUGUGCUGUCUUUGUUGGUCUCAUUCAUCUCCUUGGCCUCUGUAACAGAUAAUGUGUUCGCUUCCGAGACCUUUCCGGACAUCGCCACGACCACGAUAGUCAGUUCGAUAAUGAUGACAACUACCCGUUGAUAGACUGCAGAGAUCGACUGUCUGGCUAUAGCUGGGUGAUCGGCACCGAUGUGGAUGAAAUUGUACUUCCCAGAAAAAACAUUACUCUGAAACCCUUCAUUAAGGAUCUGUUUGCUCGGGAACCGCACGCGGCAGGGUUCCAUUUUUACAUAAUGUUCCACUACACAAGCUGGGGUAAAACAAGGAAUCACUCUUCUAGAAUCGAGCACUUUGAAUAUUCCAGAUCUACUCCACCUCUUUGGAUGGCGUACAAGUACGUCUACAUUCCUGAUAGAGUAAAUGUACCAAUUACUCACAAUGUAAACCCAAAGUCUCCCUUCACGGUUCCUCGAGUGCCUCCAAAAGAAGGGGUCAUUCAUCACGUGCGUCUCUGUGUGCAUCCUGAGAAAGUUUGCUUUCCUCCAGGCUCGCCCAUUGAUGAUUCACUAUUGAGAUUCGAACGCAACCUUCCGCCAAAGGUGAAGCAGGCGAUGAAGGAAAUAGGGUUGCUGUGACCCGAUCUGACUUUGUCAACACACAGUGGAACAACGUCCCUACAGCUCGGUCAAUCCGCCCGUCUGCUCACAUCUAUGGAGGAAAUCUGGGAAAGAGUGCCUUCCGUUCCCCCAUAUGAUUGCCCACUUCUUUCUUCCGCAUGUUAACAGAUGUAACACAGUGUGGUUUGACCCUAUAUAUCGUAAUAUAAUUUGGGCUUUUAGUUAUUUUUGUGAGUUCUCUACUAAUUGUUGUAUUAGGUUUUGUUAAUAAUUUUAGCGUUAAUGCAAGAUUCAUAUAUUUCAUUUAUUCUGUGCACAUUUUCCUCCUGCAGAUAUUUCCACAUAAUUUUGAUUUGCAUAUUUCAUGCAUUAUAAAUGUGUGUGUGUGCGUGCGUGCGUGCGCACGUGCGUGUGCGCAAUUGUUUGAGUGGAAUAAAACUGUGGCGAGAGCACAGUCCACAGUAUUUUCAUAUAGAGUGAGUCAUAUCUCUGAAAGAAUAUUAAUUUUCCCUUUCUUAGAGACACCAAUCAAAUUUACAAGGGUGGUUCAAAACAAUGAGGGUCACAUCCAAAACUGCAUUAACAACUUACGGGUACACAUAUGUAGCGAUACACCUGUAUAAUAGGUUCAAAUGCUGCAUACAGUCAUUCACUGUACAAUGAGAUGAUAAUCAGUCGGUUGAAGAACACUAGUUGCGAUUACAAUGCACAAAGGCUUCAACCUCAUCCCAUCUGUGUGGACCCAGGACACGGUAGAGUUGAGUCCCUUAGACAUCCAGGCUAGAUAUUCUCGAAACGUCCGUAGCCCUACGAACUUCAUAAGCCCAUUCUUAACACAUUGGCCACGAUCAAAGUUACGAAUUCUUAUGGCUACGAACGUUUCGAGAAUAAAAGCGAGACCUUUGAUAGUGAUUUCUAAGGACAUUUUCCCCUGUUAAUGUUUAUUAGUUUAUCAGCACUAAACCCAGUCUCGUCAAUUUCAUGUAUGUCGUAAAAAUCUCAGUCGUCUAACUAACUUUCUCAUUACUGUUUUGCAUCAAACUGAUAUAAAAUAAAAAUCUGUUCAAAACGGGGUCAAACCUAACUUACUCACUAACUAACUCAGCUAACGUGAUCAGUUAACUCUAUCGAUGGAGUGGUUCUACACUCUUCAAAAAAAGAAACGCAUAUGUGAUUUUGAGAACAGUGGACUCAUGUAUCUGUGACAAAAACAAUACAAACAUACUGCUUCUUUCCCCAAAACGUUAACUUUGCGCCAUUGUAAACAGCCUCGGCGCCAAAACGCGGCAAUGUAGAUUUUUUUCUCCUGUCUUAGAAGCGUUUCAAGUAACAUUCGCCAAAACGUCACCAAGAAAACGUGCGAAGUAAAAUGUGGAAAGCAUGCGAUAUCGAUUACUAAAAAAAACAAACGUUGUGUUUAACUUUAUCGUUUUUCCCUGGAAAAGAGGAAAUCAUCAUGCCACGACUGAAUGCCGCCAAUCGAAACUAAAACACAACAAUAGCUGUUUUUGUUUGCGAACUCUUUGUCCAUUAACGUGUGAAUUUUUACCUUUUAACCAUUGAAAUUACAUGAAAUAAUUGCUCUUGAAUUAGCGCAAUAAAUUCUUCUAAAAAU
rnacentral:misc_RNA from 1 species